rnacentral:rRNA from 1 species
UACAGAGGUCUCAAGCGUUGUUCGGAUUCAUUGGGCGUAAAGGGUGCGUAGGCGGCGCGGUAAGUCGGGUGUGAAAUCUCGGGGCUUAACUCCGAAACUGCAUUCGAUACUGCCGUGCUUGAGGACUGGAGAGGAGACUGGAAUUUACGGUGUAGCGGUGAAAUGCGUAGAUAUCGUAAGGAAGACCAGUGGCGAAGGCGGGUCUCUGGACAGUUCCUGACGCUGAGGCACGAAGGUCAGGGGGAGUAAAACGGGG